AGUGAACGCUGGCGGUAGGCCUAACACAUGCAAGUCGAACGGCAGCACAGUAAGAGCUUGCUCUUACGGGUGGCGAGUGGCGGACGGGUGAGGAAUACAUCGGAAUCUACUUUUUCGUGGGGGAUAACGUAGGGAAACUUACGCUAAUACCGCAUACGACCUACGGGUGAAAGCAGGGGAUCUUCGGACCUUGCGCGAUUGAAUGAGCCGAUGUCGGAUUAGCUAGUUGGCGGGGUAAAGGCCCACCAAGGCGACGAUCCGUAGCUGGUCUGAGAGGAUGAUCGGCCACAGGGGAAAUGAGAAAAGGGCAAGACUAUGACGGGAGGCAGCAGGAGGGAAUAUGAAGAAAUGGGCGAAAGCAUGACGGAGCAAUGUAGGGUGAGGGAUGAAGGUAUUCGGAUCGUAAAAAUCUGUUAGUAGGGAAGAACAAAUGUGUAAGUAAAUAUGCACGUGUUGACGGUAACUAAUAAGAAAGACACGGCUAACUACGUG
rnacentral:rRNA from 1 species